CAGAAGAAUAGAAAGGCUCCCCCUUAUCUUCGAGCUUGUAAAAAUAGAAAGGUGACUGAGGUGUUUCUCUAUAUUCCCAUCUGCCUUUUUGCCAUACUUAGCCAAAAAAAAUAAAUAAUUCGAUUUCAGAAUGGAGAGGCAUCGUGGCCAGAAAGAUGACAAGAACUUGCUGGUCAAAUGCUUAUGAUAGUGAGCUGAUGAGACCUGGGCCAACUCUUGCCCACGCUCUUGAUCUGCACUUUCUAAUCAGGAAUUAUGGUUAGAGACAUGACCAAAUAGAUUGUAAUAGAUCAAAAUUGAGCCGUGGAUUAAAGGCCGUUGUCUCUUUAAGGAUGAUUAGUUAUAACCAUGUACGUCAUUUUCUAAAUCAUGGACCGCGAGUACAAUCAGUCAUUGGUGGAUGUCUGGAUCAUCAAUCGGUCCGCCCGGGCCAUCGCACCAUAUAACCUUGGUUUCUUUCUUUGUGCUUUUUUCUUUCAAUUUUUUUUUUUCUUUUGGGAUUGCUGCGAUCAAUUUCAUGGUAGGGCCAAGUUAAGGUUGUUUUUCACGUGUUGUUUCGCAAGCAACAGUCCUGUUUUUCUUUGCACCUAGGGUGACUCCUUCAUUGGCAUUAGACUCCUUAGACAGUUAAAGGGUUUGAUGUUUGCUGAUAUAUUUAGCUACUAAGCUUAAAUCCCCGAAAUGUUGCAUGGAAGAAGUUAAAAAACCAAUGUAAUAUCUAU